GCCUGGGUGGCUCAGUCGGUGGAGCGUCCGAUUUCAGCUCAGGUCGUGAUCUCAUGGUUCAUGGGUUCGAGCCCCACGUCAGGCC
rnacentral:tRNA from 1 species